GUCCACGCCCUAAACUAUGGAUACUAAGUGUCGGCGGGUUACCGCCGGUGCCGCAGCUAACGCAUUAAGUAUCCCGCCUGGGAAGUACGGCCGCAAGGUUGAAACUCAAAGGAAUUGACGGGGCCCGCACAAGCGGUGGAGCAUGUGGUUUAAUUCGACGCAACGCGAAGAACCUUACCCAGGUUGGACAUGCACGUAGUAGAAAGGUGAAAGCCUGACGAGGUAGCAAUACCAGCGUGCUCAGGUGCUGCAUGGCUGUCGU
rnacentral:rRNA from 1 species